rnacentral:tRNA from 1 species
GCCCACGUAGCUCAGUUGGCAGAGCACCAUCUUGGUAAGAUGGGGGUCACCAGUUCGAGUCUGGUCGUGGGCUCCA